GUGGGGAAUCUUGCGCAAUGGGCGAAAGCCUGACGCAGCCAUGCCGCGUGGAUGAUGAAGGUCUUAGGAUUGUAAAAUCCUUUCACCGGUGAAGAUAAUGACUGUAGCCGGAGAAGAAGCCCCGGCUAACUUCGUGCCAGCAGCCGCGGUAAUACGCAGGGGGCUAGCGUUGCUCGGAUUUACUGGGCGUAAAGGGCGCGUAGGCGGACAUUUAAGUCAGGGGUGAAAUCCCGGGGCUCAACCUCGGAGCUGCCUUUGAUACUGGGUGUCUUGAGUAUGAGAGAGGUGUGUGGAACUCCAAGUGUAGAGGUGAAAUUCGUAGAUAUUCGGAAGAACACCAGUGGCGAAGGCGACACACUGGCUCAUUACUGACGCUGAGGCGCGAAAGCGUGGGGAGCAAACAGGAUUAGAUACCCGAGUAGUCC
rnacentral:rRNA from 1 species